UCAUCACUAUAUACUUUACCGGUCUGUUAACUGCUCUUACCACUAGGGCCAACAAGAAAAUAAAAGCCUGCAAUUACAAGUAGUUUAUUAUUUGUCGGUGCGUCAGUUCAGAUUCCUUCUCAGCUGCAUAAUCAAAAUCAAGCUACAUCAACUAAAACAAAACAAUCUACAAGCAAGGGAUAUUUUAACUACUUUCCCACUGAACUGCACUUCCUUCCAACCAUUUAUCCAAUACCAACACCAGUCAAAACCAUUCGUUAUAAAAUUCUUGAAAUAAAUUUGUCAUCCCACAUAAAUGAAGACAUCGUUAUAAAAUUCCAGCCAUUUAUCCCACCCAUUUGAGAAGACAAGAGGUGAAACAAUCACCUUGGUUCGGUGGUACGCGUCGGCGGCGGCAGAGAGGAGCGACGUUCGGUAGUACGUGUCGGCGCAGGGAGGAGCGAGGACCGGCGGUGGCAGAUUCGGCGUCGAUCGUCUGCACAGAGAGGCGAUGGAAGGAAGAUGACCGCCGGCUGCAAGUUCAGCGUCGGAGUGAGGAGUGAGGACCGGCUGCAAGCUCGGCGUCGGUGGGAAGCUCGGCAGCGGCAGAGUGAGUCGGCGGCAGCUUCAAUCUCGGCGUCGAUUGUUGAUGAUGGGUGAGAACGGCGGGCGGAAGGCUAGGUUUGGAGUUGGGUAUUCGCGUAUUUAGGUCAGAUUUAAUUUUUUGUUUGUUUUUUUUUAAACCGCCUGCUGUCUGCCUUUUCCUUGUCGGCGCCGAGAAGACGCUCGCGACGUCGAUUCCGCGCAGCUCCACCUUAAUCAGGCCGCCUCGCACUAAUCAGGGCGUUUUCUUUCCGCUCUUCCGAUUUUUCUGCCUCGACGCGCCUUCCCGAACACUGGUAUGCAGAUAGAUUGUAUCAUCGGGAAACUUUCAUGCCGUGCGUGCUUCUGGCGUCUAGUAUGCAAAUGCAAGCAUGUCAUGACGCCAGGCUGCUCCUACAUUUGGACAGCAUAGCCGAUGCCGAUGCCGAUGUCUGAUUUUGUAUCCAUGUUGUACUGUGCGGUAGUCUCGAGAUCCACAUCUAUUUCAGGUGGUACUCGUAUACAUUUUGGUGAUAGUAUUACAUAUUACAGUGUGGCGAAUGACGCUGUAGUCAAGGUGGUAGCUCUGCCAGUUUUCAACCUGGAGAUCCCAGGUUUAAAUCCGGCAAAUGUCACCCCGAGUAUCUGCUGCAAUGUCAUAUAGUGAUCGUGUGAAAAGGGUUUACUCGUCAUAAAAAAAAUACAUUCGAGUAGUAGAUGAUGUGAUGUUCCCAGAUUGGCGUUAGCAGCAGACUUUCUUUAUAGUGAGUGAGUCCGUAAAUUCGAGGAAAAUUGCAAACAUUUUUGUCAUAGGCGUUUUUGCAUAUCGCUUCAUGUCUGGAAACACAUCUUUCUUUUGAGUUUUGAACUUGGUAAAUGUCGACUCAAGGAUGACAGGAGUAGUUUCCGAUGCGAUUUUCGACAACUCGUACCUCAGUUCCUGAAAUUUGUUUCACCCGCCGCCCGAUCACCUUCCUCAGCUGGAUUUUGAAGAUUUUUUUGGGGUGUACACGUUGUAUGCAAAUUUCAUAACUUUUUUGCAUAGAGCGCAUACAAUAACGAGCUAUAUACGUACGGCCCCUUUUAAUUUCUCAGUUGAUGUUUCUUAUUAAUUCAGUUGCACAAACCUUCAUAUACAUUGGUUUCACCGAUCCUGUCUAUCUAUUUGACCAUCAAUCCCCUGCCUCCAGUUUUACAUGUUUAUAUGAAAAUAUGAAAUAUCUGAAGCAGUAAUCAUCACCACAGCAGCAAACGAUGAUGAUUCAAGACCAAGGUGGACGCGAGCAGAGGCAAAAUCGUGAUGAUAUGAUAGUAGUCCCUCCGAGGAGGAGCAGAAUUAGGUAGAAAUGGGUAAUCUUCAGGGGAAGGCAUCAUGCAUUCAUCCCCAUUGAAGUAAACUUUCCUUGGAAACGCCCACCCUUGCUUCAACGUGAAGGUAUCCACAUCUUUCUCAAGUAACAGCUCCGACUGUACAUUCCCUUCCGGACCCGCUUGGUUCAGGAAAUCGUUGAAGAACUUUAGUCCAAAAAACAUCCCCGAAUCAUCUGCAACAGUUCCAAAAAAAAAUUCAUGUAUACAAUCCUGAUGUAAACAGGAUUUGGAACUAACUCUCCUUGUUAAACUUACUGCUGGAUUUGUAGGGGUGAAGUGGCUUGUACCCGAAGCUAAAAGCUUCAGUGAGGUUGUUGAAAUUCGGGUGCUGAACUACUAGUGUCCAUUGUGAGUAGUUCAUCAUGUGGUCGAAAUUAGUGAUGGACAUCUUCACUCUCCAAUACUGCUUGUAGUUCAGCUUUACAUGCCAAUGGACCCUUAUAGGACACAUGUGCUGUGUGCAUUCUAACAGUGGGGAACCAAUGGAGCUCAAUGGGUGUUUGUUUGCUCCUCCAACGACACUCAAAAUCUUCGAAUCAUUACUCCUGCACGUAUGCAAUGCAGUUAUGUCAGGGUUUAGGAUUUAUGGAUAGAACUGUUAGCUAUGAAGUUCUGCAAUAGUUGAAGAACUUACCUGACACAAUUGUUACUGUUCUUGUUACAGCCACAAGCACAGGAAGGACAAGGUGUGAUUGUAGAGUUGUAAAAGGAUGACAUUGAAACACAGCACUUUGGAUGCUGAGAUGCCAGCACCUGAGAGUAAGUACACGUCACAUUCCAUGUCACUGUCAACAAUAACAAAUUGUCAGAAUCUGAUCCAACAAAUUUCCAAGAAGCAAAAACCUUUAGCUAGAGAAACUCACUCAUGGAUUGAGUCUUUCGACGACCAUCUGAGCUCAUGAAAACAGUCCGGGGAACG
rnacentral:lncRNA from 1 species